GAUAAGUACAUACUUCUAUCAUCCGCCAGGGUACUACAAGCAUAAGCUCAAAACCCAAAGGACCUGGCGGUGCUUUAUACCCCCCUAGAGGAGCCUGUUCUAGAACUGAUAAUCCCCACUCAACCUCACCCCUUCUUGCCAAUACCGCCUAUAUACCGCCGUCGUCAGCUUACCUUAUGAAAGCCUAAUAGUGAGCAAAAUUGGUAAACCCCUAAACGUCAGGUCGAGGUGUAGUAAAUGAAGGGGGGAGGAAUGGGCUACAUUCGUUGAUUAUCGAAUAACGGACAACAUGUUGAAAUUACAUAUUUAAAGGAGGAUUUAGUAGUAAGUAGAAAGUAGAGUGUUC
rnacentral:rRNA from 1 species